GUCCCUGUACCGCAAUACGCGCGUUGGACUUCUAAUUCAAAGGUCAUGAGUUCGAAUCCCAUCUGGGAUG